rnacentral:tRNA from 1 species
GAGGGUAUAGCUCAUUGGAAAAGCACAUGCUUAACAUGCAUGAAGUCCUGGGUUCAAUCCCCAGUACCUCCA